rnacentral:rRNA from 1 species
UACGUAGGGUGCGAGCGUUGUUCGGAAUUACUGGGCGUAAAGGGCGCGUAGGCGGCCCGCUAAGUCGAACGUGAAAUCCCCAGGCUCAACCUGGGAACUGCGUCCGAUACUGGCAGGCUUGAAUCCGGGAGAGGGAUGUGGAAUUCCAGGUGUAGCGGUGAAAUGCGUAGAUAUCUGGAGGAACACCGGUGGCGAAGGCGGCAUCCUGGACCGGUAUUGACGCUGAGGCGCGAAAGCUAGGGGAGCAAACGGG